rnacentral:misc_RNA from 1 species
GAUGAAGAACGUAGCGAAAUGCGAUAAGUAGUGUGAAUUGCAGACUUUAGUGAAUCAUCGAAUCUUUGAACGCUCAUUGCGCCGCUUGGUAGUCCAUUGGGCAUGCCUGUUCGAGCGUCAUUUACACCCUCAAGCUACGCUUGGUGUUGGGCGUCUGUCCCCGCUUCCCGCGAGGACUCGCCCCAAAUCCAUUGGCAGCGGCAUCGCCGGCUUCUCGCGCAGCACAUUGCGCUUCGGAAGGCUCCCGGCGGGCUCGCGUCCAGCAAGAACCCCCCCAGUUUGACCUCGAAUCAGGUAGGGAUACCCGCUGAACUUAAGCAUAUCAAUAAGCGGAGGA